rnacentral:rRNA from 1 species
ACGGAAGGCAGCAGUGGGGAAUAUUGCACAAUGGGCGAAAGCCUGAUGCAGCGACGCCGCGUGAGUGAAGAAGUAUUUCGGUAGGUAAAGCUCUAUCAGCAGGGAAGAAAAUGACGGUACCUGACUAAGAAGCCCCGGCUAACUACGUGCCAGCAGCCGCGGUAAUACGUAGGGGGCAAGCGUUAUCCGGAUUUACUGGGUGUAAAGGGAGCGUAGACGGCUUUGCAAGUCUGAAGUGAAAGCUCGGGGCUCAACUCCGGAACUGCUUUGGAAACUGUAGAGCUAGAGUGCAGGAGAGGUAAGUGGAAUUCCUAGUGUAGCGGUGAAAUGCGUAGAUAUUAGGAGGAACACCAGUGGCGAAGGCGGCUUACUGGACUGUAACUGACGUUGAGGCUCGAAAGCGUGGGGAGCAAACAGGAUUAGAUACCCUGGUA